CCUGUGCGCACAGUGGCCGUGGGGCUUGUGCACAGUGCACACACCCUUUUACAUGCUAACACGCACGGGAUGUGCGCACAGUGCGCACGUCUCCUCCAUACACAUGCACGCACAUCUUGCUCGCGCGCAAGGAGGAUCUAUGUGCACGACUUUAUAGGUUCACCCAUGAUCGUCAGUGCGUCAUUUUGAGCAUGCACCGGCUCAGCAGUAGGCCUGCGCGACCAGGCCCUUUGCGUUUGGGGCCUACGCGCAUGGUGCCAAGUACACCUACGCCCUGCGUAGAUAGGCUAGCCCUGUGUGCACAGUAGCAGGCCUGUGCACCUACAGGUUAGCCUGCAGCACACCGACCGGGCACUUCCACCUCGAGCAAGCCUUGGGCGACGCACUGCCACUGCAGGUAGAGGAAGUUUUUGUCCCUUAUUUUUUGUGCCAAGAAUCUUUUUCUCCUCUCUUUUCACUGGCUUUCAUCACUUGACGUGAAUCCAAUGGUUUCAAAAUUCUAUAAAUUGCCCUUCCCAUUUUCUACCUCUCCACACUUCCAU
rnacentral:lncRNA from 1 species